UUGAGCAUAUUGUCAUUGAUGAAGAAUUUUUAUUUAUUUUUGAUCAAAGACUUCACCAUGUUUUCCUGAACUUUUCAAUCUCCUGUUUGCAGAGUUUUAACGUGAGCUCUCCUCGGGCCUGGGAGAAAUUCUGAGAAUGACCCCUGAGAAUGAGCUCAGUGGUGAGAAGUCCAAGGACAGGAUGAGGUCGACAUUGCAAGUGUUUUUGGAAUAAGAAUCAACACACUUAAAGACUGGGAUUUGGAAGUGAGAAGGAGUACAUGGAAGUGAUUCAGGAAAACAAGGAAAUGUGACACAAGUGGCAACAUUUGUCAAAGUUCUAUGCAUUUGUUCCUUUGGAUUCAAGUGAAACAUCUGGAGUCAAUUCUUAACCCAAUGUUGGUUUGUUGUCACCAACCUCUUUGCCCUGCUAUUGAGGGAAGAAAGAUAGAGGGCUGUCACCAGAAGCAAGGAACAGAGGAAGUAAAUUUCCAAAGGAUCUGGUAGAAGAAUUGGUCUAACUGUGUUCCUCAUGAGAAAAGUAUUCUGUUGGAGGACAUGUAAUAAAACAGCAGUCACAAGAUUUGAUUUAUUCACAGCUCUGAAAACUCUGGAAGACCAUGGGGAAGUUCCCUAACCUCCUUUGGGUAUUUCAUCUGAGCUGUUGGAGUUGCAUUACCUAAUCUCUCUGGUUCCUUGAAGCUGCCACAUUCAGUGAUUCUGUCUGUAUUCAAUGAUAGAUACAACAAGGAGCAACCUACGCUGAAAGUGGCCUGAGAUGUAGAUCUGAAAAGAGAAAUUUUGGUUCCAGCCAUAGGAGUGUGUUCACAGAAAAAGAAGCCAGCUAAAGAAUGUCUUGGGUGUUCUGGACAGGCUUGGAAUCCACAGAAGUAUUUAUUUCAAGAGGAUAUCUAUACUGAUUUUUCAUUGAAGGUCAAAGGGAGUUCCAGAUAAACUGCCUGAGUUCUGGCAGUCAAAAAAGAAGGAAAUGUAGUCCUUUGAAACUCUGUCCCUCAUGAGAACAUGGACUACUUUAUCCUUGAGUGAGAGAUGAGCCGUGGGACCGGUAACAACACUUCUAGGCUUCAUUCUUCAAGGGUAGGCGACAAAAGGUAAAUACUAAGACAGAUUAUGAGAAGGUUACACUGGAACUCCUGCUUGUCUUCCUUGAAGGAGUGCUCCAUGAAGACUGCAGGGGCUUCCCUCUCACAG